rnacentral:sRNA from 1 species
UCCGGCAUGGACGCCGGUAAAGCCGUAGAUAAUCGAUGUUUUGAGCAUCGCUCAAAACUCGGGUUGAAAAGUGUACAAGGACGUGCACUUUUCAAACAAAC